UGAUUAAUGUUGCAGUUAUUUCUGUUGUGCUAAUGCAUAAUGCUUCUUGCAUUUGCUUUUGUAGGACAAACCUACAUCCAUCAUUGGGGUGUUAUCUUGCCAGCUUCUCUGCUGUUUUUAUUUAGCUAAUUCAACCACUGCUUUACCUAAAAGGAUCUAAUUAAUCGUUAUGUUCCUAAUCUUGCUUUUAUUGAGAACACAGUUAAUUAAGUUUAAAAAUUGACAUGGCAAAACUUGAUCCAGACAAAUUACCUCAGAGGAAGAUUUGUAUCAGUAAAAAUCUCUGGACUAAUACAUUGCUGGCUUGUGCAGCUGGUGCUAAAGGACCUUGUGGGUAGCCCCAAGCUGAGGGUGUCUGUGGGGGAAGUGCAGCCAUGUGAUGCACACUGACUCGUUGAAACUACAUCAGCAGGUUAGGAGCUGGAGGAUGCCACCAGCCCCUCUAAAUGGUUUUGCAGUGAAGGAGGCUGAUCUUGAAGGUGAUCAAUACCCCAGCUCCUGCCCAAAUCCAUGGCUUUUCCAAGUCUAGUACAGCACUGCUGAAAUUAAUGGGAAUGAGAGGGGGCUUUCCUCACCAGGAAUUGUCUGGUGCUAUCUGGGACAGCUGCCUUGGAGGCCUUGGCCCUGGUGCACCUUGGCCUGUGAGGGCCUGUGCUGUAUGAGAAGCCUGGAGCUGAGCGAGUGGGUAGGCAGGCAGAGUGGGAAGGGGGUAUAGAGACUGACAGGAUCCUCAAGGAAGACCUGGGGAGACACUGCCUGAGCCCCCACCACUAUGCAGCUGUGCUUGGUACAGACAGUCCUGAAAUGGCAGAGGCUUGGCCCUUGUGGAAGCUGUCCAGCAAAUUAGAAUAUUGCUCAUUUGCCCAGCUUUUUACCUCUGCACCAGAAAUGUUUACACAUAACUGCUUCAGCUGUGUAUCUGCAAUUGUUAGGUAGUACACGGUUUAGGAUUUUCUCCUUAUUUAAGCAUAUCUCACAUCUCCACAUACAAAGAAGUAUGGUAUUCAUCUAGGACACUGAACUGGAAAUGUACUUAUCAUGGGCUAAUUGCUCACUCAAUUUUUAUUCCAGCAAGUUUUCUUCAUACCCCUGUGCUGUACUUCACAGAAGUGAUUAGGUAAUAGGCUGGGCCCCUGGAGAUCGUGAUCUCUGUAGAAAUCAAGAGAAAAUAGGAAGGGAAGGGAACACAGGGGAGCAAAGAGGUUAAUAUUGGUCAGACUGAUAGGGGGUGGUCUUAUCAAUAGGUGAACUGUUGUCUUUGCAUAUUAAGCCGCAUGACGUUUAUAAUGAACAAAUAUUUUGGAAAAGGAAGAGUUAUCAUUUAUGCAAUCUGGCCUUUGUUUUUCCUUACCUCUGUGGAAUUGUUUUCAAAAAACUUCUUAAUAAACAGAAGAACCCAUUGGAGCAGAUUGCUGCAGAUGGUUUUGCUUAGCAAGCUACAUCUGUCUAAAGAUUAUACUAUACUACUAGGUUGAACUUUACCCAGCUGAUGUUCUGAGAUGGGAGCCCACAUAUGAUAAUAUUGAGAUGCUGAUAUUAAUAACAGUUAACA